rnacentral:tRNA from 1 species
GUGUAUGUGGUGUAAUUAACACCCUAGCUUUUCAUGCUAGUAUUAUAUAUUUAUAUUAUACACA